CAGCCGCCGCGGUAAUACAGAGGGUGCAAGCGUUAAUCGGAUUUACUGGGCGUAAAGGGCGCGUAGGUGGUUAUGUAAGUGAGAUGUGAAAUCCCCGGGCUCAACCUGGGAACUGCAUCUUAUACUGCGUAGCUGGAGUGCAGUAGAGGGUAGUGGAAUUUCCGGUGUAGCGGUGAAAUGCGUAGAUAUCGGAAGGAACACCAGUGGCGAAGGCGGCUACCUGGACUGACACUGACACUGAGGCGCGAAAGCGUGGGGAGCAAACAGGAUUAGAUACCCCGGUAGUCCCUGUCUCUUAUAC
rnacentral:rRNA from 1 species